rnacentral:rRNA from 1 species
UACGUAGGGGGCAAGCGUUGUCCGGAUUUAUUGGGCGUAAAGAGCGUGUAGGCGGCCAGACAGGUCAGCUGUGAAAACUCGAGGCUCAACCUCGAGACGUCGGUUGAAACCGUCUGGCUAGAGUCCGGAAGAGGAGAGUGGAAUUCCCGGUGUAGCGGUGAAAUGCGCAGAUAUCAGGAGAACACCCGUGGCUAAGGCGGCUCUCUAGUACGGUACUGACGCUGAGACGCGAAAGCGUGGGAGCGAACAGGAUAGAUACC